rnacentral:rRNA from 1 species
CCUACGGGGGGCAGCAGUGAGGAAUAUUGGUCAAUGACCGAGAGGCUGAACCAGCCAAGUCGCGUGAGGGAAGACGGCCCUACGGGUUGUACACCUCUUUUGUCGGGGAGCAAAGAGAGUCACGUGUGACUCAUUGAGAGUCCCCGAAGAAAAAGCAUCGGCUAACUCCGUGCCAGCAGCCGCGGUACUACGGAGGAUGCGAGCGUUAGCCGGAUUUAUUGGGUUUAAAGGGUGCGCAGGAGGAGGUGCAAGUCAGCGGUCAAAGUGCGGGGCUCAACCCCGUACUGCCGUUGAAACUGCAUCUCUUGAGUGCGCGAGAAGUAUGCGGAAUGCGUGGUGUAGCGGUGAAAUGCAUAGAUAUCACGCAGAACUCCGAUUGCGAAGGCAGCAUACCGGCGCGCAACUGACGCUCAUGCACGAAAGCGUGGGUAUCGAACAGGAUUAGAUACCCGAGUAGUC